UACGUAGGGAGCAAGCGUUGUCCGGAAUCAUUGGGCGUAAAGCGCGCGUAGGCGGCCCUGUAAGUCCGUUGUGAAAGUCAAAGGCUCAACCUUUGAAAGCCGAUGGAUACUGCAGGGCUAGAGUCCGGAAGAGGAGUGUGGAAUUCCUGGUGUAGCGGUGAAAUGCGCAGAUAUCAGGAGGAACACCGGUGGCGAAGGCGGGUCUCUGGGCCGAUACUGACGCUGAGGAGCGAAAGCGUGGGGAGCGAACAGG
rnacentral:rRNA from 1 species